GUGCUCGCUUUGGCAGCACAUAUACUAAAAUUGGAACGAUACAGAGAAGAUUAGCAUGGCCCCUGUGCAAGGAUGACACACAAAUUUGUGAAGCGUUCCAUAUU
rnacentral:snRNA from 1 species